rnacentral:rRNA from 1 species
AGAGUUUGAUCCUGGCUCAGGAUGAACGCUAGCGGCAGGCUUAAUACAUGCAAGUCGAACGGCAGCGGGUCCAGCAAUGGAUGCCGGCGAGUGGCGCACGGGUGCGUAACGCGUAUGCAACCUACCUUUAACCGGGACACAACUCCGCGAAAGCGGGGCUAAUAUCCCAUAACAUUAUGAAGUGGCAUCAUUUUAUAAUUAAAGUUUUAACGGUUUUAGAUGGGCAUGCGUGACAUUAGCUUGUUGGUGAGGUAACGGCUCACCAAGGCUACGAUGUCUAGGGGUCCUGAGAGGGUUAUCCCCCACACUGGUACUGAGACACGGACCAGACUCCUACGGGAGGCAGCAGUAAGGAAUAUUGGGCAAUGGACGCAAGUCUGACCCAGCCAUGCCGCGUGCAGGAAUGACAGCCCUACGGGUUGUAAACUGCUUUUAUACGGGAAUAAACCCCUCGACGUGUCGAGGGCUGAAGGUACCGUAAGAAUAAGGAUCGGCUAACUCCGUGCCAGCAGCCGCGGUAAUACGGAGGAUCCAAGCGUUAUCCGGAUUUAUUGGGUUUAAAGGGUGCGUAGGCGGAUGAGUAAGUCAGUGGUGAAAUCCCCCAGCUUAACUGGGGAACUGCCUUUGAUACUGCUUAUCUUGAGUCCAGUUGAAGUGGGCGGAAUGUGUCAUGUAGCGGUGAAAUGCUUAGAGAUGACACAGAACACCGAUUGCGAAGGCAGCUCACUAAACUGCAACUGACGCUGAGGCACGAAAGCGUGGGGAUCAAACAGGAUUAGAUACCCUGGUAGUCCACGCCGUAAACGAUGAUCACUCGUUGUUGGCGAUACACAGUCAGCGACUGAGCGAAAGCAUUAAGUGAUCCACCUGGGGAGUACGGUCGCAAGAUUGAAACUCAAAGGAAUUGACGGGGGCCCGCACAAGCGGAGGAGCAUGUGGUUUAAUUCGAUGAUACGCGAGGAACCUUACCUAGGCUUAAAUGUGAGACGACAGUCCCUGAAAGGGGACCUUCCUUCGGGACGUCUUACAAGGUGCUGCAUGGUUGUCGUCAGCUCGUGCCGUGAGGUGUUGGGUUAAGUCCCGUAACGAGCGCAACCCCUAUUCUUAGUUGCCAUCAGGUAAUGCUGGGGACUCUAAGGAAACUGCCUGUGCAAACAGUGAGGAAGGCGGGGAUGACGUCAAAUCAGCACGGCCCUUACGUCUAGGGCUACACACGUGCUACAAUGGCCGGUACAGAGGGCAGCUACUAUGUGAAUAGAUGCAAAUCUCAAAAACCGGUCUCAGUUCGGAUCGAAGUCUGCAACUCGACUUCGUGAAGUUGGAUUCGCUAGUAAUCGCGCAUCAGCCAUGGCGCGGUGAAUACGUUCCCGGGCCUUGUACACACCGCCCGUCAAGCCAUGGGAGUUGGGGGGACCUAAAGUUCGUAACCGCAAGGAGCGACCUAGGGUAAAACCAAUGACUGGGGCUAAGUCGAAACAAGGUA